AAAUGAGAUGCUUUUAGAGAGCUGCUAUCAGUCUACGUUUCACCGAGGUGGCUGCUCCUCUUAUCAUCACCAUUAUCGUCUAUAGAGAGAGAGAGAGAGAGAGAGAGACAUUAUCUGUUUGUCAGAAUGAAGAUAGCUUUCGUAGACCUGCAAGGAUUCAAAGACGAUGCAAAUAAUUUUGUGCCUAAACAAGCUGCUGCUAUCCUCGUGGACGGCAAUCAAGUUAUCGCAGAGCAAUUUGUAACUAUCGCACAAGUUUUAGCAUUCAGCACCUUAUCGGAGAAAACUCAGAGGAUAAACUCGUGGGUGACACGCAAUCACCUUCAUCAGCAGUGGGGAAUGGAUGGAGUGUCACUACUUACUGCGAGAAAUACGCUCUGGGAGUUGUGCAAAUCUUGUGACUACAUUAUGGUAAUGGGUCUGGAAAAAGCAGAUU